CCUCGGUGCACCCCCUCUUUUGCCCUGCCCUCCUUCUCUUCCCACCUACCCACCCCGACACCCCUCGUCCCUCCCCCAACCACUCCGAACGGAUAGACAGAGUACGUCAAAGCCCUUGGCCUGCUUCCCUGAAUUGUUCCUGUCUUGGCGCAGGACCUGAGACACUGACAGAAGCAAUAUUUUCCACGAAAAUCUCUUUCAACAAAGAGGAAUACCAGUGGCAGCGCUGAGGAUAGAAUGAGCGUGGGUAAGUCGAAGAGUAAGAUGUCCUCUAGCCAUUCACAGAAUUGAUUCUGGGGAGCAUUAAGAAAGCAAAUGGAGAAGAUCAGAUGUCUGAGAGUCAGUGUUCUGAUUGUCGUGUUUAAUAAACGUGUAUCCUCUUCCAACUUUUCUGCUCAAAAGAAAAUCUAUAUAGUAAUGAUAGACAAUGGUAAUGGAAUUCUAGCCUGGUCUGCAGAAUUUUUUAGCUGUAGGAUCUUGGGGAACUUACUUAACUUCUCAACUUCUUUGAAUUUUUGAUUGCCCAUAAAAUAAAAUAUGGAGUCCUGAGCUGCCUGUCCUGCAGGAGAAGCCUUCUGUUACCUUUCCUGCUUUCCACGCCGUCCCUAGCACUUUAAGGUCCACUCGUAUUCAUUCCACAUUACCUCUGCUUAUUUUCUUAAUCAUGUGUUCUGAAAUAAUCUCUUUUGUUGCUUGGUUUAUUUAUUUUGCUUCAUCAGAAUAUAGGGUCCAUGACAGAGGGAUCUUGGGUCUUAUUCUUACUGUAUACCAAACACUAAGACAAUGCCAGGAAAUUAACUGGUAUAUAAAAGUAACUGGUAGAUGACUUCUGGGUAUAUACCCAAAAUAUUGAAAAUGGAAACUUGAACAGAUAUCUAUACUCCUAUGUUCAUAAUGGCAUUAUUUAUAGUAGCCAAAAGGUGGAAACAACUCAAGUUUCCAUUGAUAGAUCAACAAAAAAAACGAGAUAUAGAC